UACGUAGGGGGCUAGCGUUGUCCGGAUUUAUUGGGCGUAAAGAGCGUGUAGGCGGCCAGGUAGGUCUGGUGUGAAAACUCGAGGCUUAACCUUGAGAUGUCAUCGGAAACCAUUUGGCUAGAGCCCGGAAGAGGAAAGUGGAAUUCCUGGUGUAGCGGUGAAAUGCGCAGAUAUCAGGAAGAACACCAAUGGCGAAAGCAGCUUUCUGGGACGGUACUGGCGCUGAGACGCGAAAGCGUGGGGAGCGAACAGG
rnacentral:rRNA from 1 species